UUUAUCGGAGAGUUUGAUCCUGGCUCAGGACGAACGCUGGCGGCGUGCCUAAUACAUGCAAGUCGAGCGGACAGAUGGGAGCUUGCUCCCUGAUGUUAGCGGCGGACGGGUGAGUAACACGUGGGUAACCUGCCUGUAAGACUGGGAUAACUCCGGGAAACCGGGGCUAAUACCGGAUGCUUGUUUGAACCGCAUGGUUCAAACAUAAAAGGUGGCUUCGGCUACCACUUACAGAUGGACCCGCGGCGCAUUAGCUAGUUGGUGAGGUAAUGGCGCACCAAGGGAACGAGGCGUAGCCGACCUGAGGGGGUGAUCGGCCACACUGGGACUGAGACACGGCCCAGACUCCUACGGGAGGCAGCAGUAGGGAAUCUUCCGCAAUGGACGAAAGUCUGACGGAGCAACGCCGCGUGAGUGAUGAAGGUUUUCGGAUCGUAAAGCUCUGUUGUUAGGGAAGAACAAGUACCGUUCGAAUAGGGCGGUACCUUGACGGUACCUAACCAGAAAGCCACGGCUAACUACGUGCCAGCAGCCGCGGUAAUACGUAGGUGGCAAGCGUUGUCCGGAAUUAUUGGGCGUAAAGGGCUCGCAGGCGGUUCCUUAAGUCUGAUGUGAAAGCCCCCGGCUCAACCGGGGAGGGUCAUUGGAAACUGGGGAACUUGAGUGCAGAAGAGGAGAGUGGAAUUCCACGUGUAGCGGUGAAAUGCGUAGAGAUGUGGAGGAACACCAGUGGCGAAGGCGACUCUCUGGUCUGUAACUGACGCUGAGGAGCGAAAGCGUGGGGAGCGAACAGGAUUAGAUACCCUGGUAGUCCACGCCGUAAACGAUGAGUGCUAAGUGUUAGGGGGUUUCCGCCCCUUAGUGCUGCAGCUAACGCAUUAAGCACUCCGCCUGGGGAGUACGGUCGCAAGAC
rnacentral:rRNA from 1 species